rnacentral:rRNA from 1 species
CGCGUAGGCGGCGCGGUAAGUCACUUGUGAAAUCUCUGAGCUUAACUCAGAACGGCCAAGUGAUACUGCAGUGCUAGAGUGCAGAAAGGGCAAUCGGAAUUCUUGGUGUAGCGGUGAAAUGCGUAGAUAUCAAGAGGAACACCUGAGGCGAAGGCGGGUUGCUAGGCUGACACUGAGCUGAGGCGACCGAAAGGCCAGGGGAGCAAC